rnacentral:rRNA from 1 species
UGCCCCUACGGGAGGCAGCAGUGAGGAAUAUUGGUCAAUGGGCGGUAGCCUGAACCAGCCAAGUAGCGUGAAGGAUGAAGGUUCUAUGGAUUGUAAACUUCUUUUAUAUGGGAAUAAAGUUUGGUAUGCAUACCAUUUUGUAUGUACCAUAUGAAUAAGGAUCGGCUAACUCCGUGCCAGCAGCCGCGGUAAUACGGAGGAUCCGAGCGUUAUCCGGAUUUAUUGGGUUUAAAGGGAGCGUAGGUGGAUUGUUAAGACAGUUGUGAAAGUUUGCGGCUCAACCGUAAAAUUGCAGUUGAAACUGG